CGUAAGGAGGACACUAACAUCAGUAGGGUGUAAACUGACCAACCUUGAGGAACCGAUAUGUCCGGAGUUGUGGUUAAACGAAUUCUAGGUCAAACAAGCAUUUGCAGAAAAUGUUUGUUUUUAAAUCUUUCCCGUAACAUACAGAAUGUAGGAUCAUCCAAAGUUUCUGCUGUUAAUCUUGCAUAUGACUACCAAGAAACACCCAAUGAUUACGAUGUCCUCCCCCCAUUGAUCAUAAUGCAUGGGUUAAUGGGUUCUUCUUCGAACUGGGCCACCAUAUCCAAGGUGCUGGCAAACACUGAUAGAAAGAUAAUAAGAUUAGAUGCUCGUAAUCAUGGUAAUAGCCCACACAGUGAAGAUAUGUCUUAUGAAGCAAUGUCCUAUGAUGUGCUGAAGGUGAUGGAUAACAUGAAGAUCGAGAAAGCCUGUCUGAUGGGCCACAGUAUGGGAGGGAAAGCUUUCAUGACAACAGCACUGCUACAUAGAGGGUUUCAAGCUUAAUUGUGGUGGAUGUUUCACCCACCCUUAGUCCCGGUGCCAAAUACUUCCCGAGUUACCUACAAUGUAUGCUAAAGAUCAGCUCACAACUACCAGAGAUGGAAGGAGUACCCCUCACAAAAGCCAGAAACAUGGUUGUAGAGGCACUGGAGGAGGUAGAAGAGCACCUGGGUGUUCGGCAGUUUCUGGCAGCAAACCUUAUCCAGGUGGAUGGAAAGCUGAAAUGGAGAGUGAAUCUGGAUGCAAUUAUCAAUAAUUAUCAGGAUUUGGCCAGUUUUCCCAAGUUUGACACAAAGUAUGAGGGACCUACCCUGUUUGUGGGUGGAGAGAAGUCUGAGUAUAUUAGGUGGGAUAAUGUUUUCUCUUAUCUUUUCUACUUUCCUCUUUUUAACCCGAAAAUGUGUUUUACAGUAUUGAAAAGAAAAAUUAACACAUUUUUUUAAAUUUCAACAUGGUACAUUUGAGUAAUUUGUCUGAUACAGUACAUGUAUUAUAUUAUAAAGUAUGUUAAACAAAACUGUUGAUAUUUUUUAAAGAGAGAAUAUGUUUUUCUUUUUAAGCCCAAGCACAACGCCAGACAUCAUGAAUCUCUUUCCCAAUGCUUUUAUUGUACACAUACCAAGGGCAGGUCACUGGGUGCACUCAGACAAUCCAUUUGAGUUCCUGGAAUGUGUUAUAGGAUUUCUGAAUGCUGAAGCUGAGGGACAAUUAUAUAAAAAUGUGCCAAGCUAAUCUAAUGAACCAAAUUUUAGUCAUAAUUUCUUUGAUGUUUUUAUCAUUCAGUGGAAUCAGUGCUAUUAAGUUUUUAAGAUUACAAAUGG
rnacentral:misc_RNA from 1 species